rnacentral:lncRNA from 1 species
GGGUCGGAGUUUGAGAAACUGUUGAGCAGCCAGUUAGGGUUUUGAACAAGAUGAUGUCAGUGGUCGGAAUGGUAGUAUCGAACAAAAUGUAGAAAUCGGUGGUGGUGGCCGUCGAUAGGCUCUUCCAUAACAAGCUCUACAAUCGAUACUUCAAAUGCACAUCCAUAUUCAUGGCACACGACGAAACAAAUCAGUGCAAUAUCGGCGAUCGACACGCUUGAGGCGCGAGGUGCACUAAGGCCAGGCCUCAGCGUAAGUUUAUGAGAACGAAGGGGGUAUUAUAAGAUCAUAAGAUUUCAAGGUAUAUGACAAGAUGAGGCUAAUAAGGAUGAGGAGAAUGAAGACAUGGAUGAUAUGACAAGUUACAUUUUAUUUAGCAAAAUGAAUUACUUCUUUUGGUGCCUGAGUGCCCCUUCUCUUCAGUCCUCUCUGCUUCUCGUUGCCGCCCUUUCUUUGCUAGACCGUCACUAGCACAUUAUUUGGUAGUCGCUGCCCCACCGGUGUGUAGUUGAUUACUUGAAGAAGGCGGUUGGGUGCCUGCAGUUCUGGCAUCGUAGAACGCUUAAAACUAAAGUGGAAGGUAGCAUGGAGAGGCCCACUUAGAAGAAUUUCCAAGUUUGAUCAGGGGCCCCGAGGUCGUUGACAAAAAUAAAGAGAUUUCUUCUCGCAACAAAUUCCUUGGCUUGCUGAGUAGACAUGAUGUUUUCUUUAGUUGAGCGAGAUACCAAGGGUUGUCAUUGAUUAACCAAAGUCGACUUAAUUGAAACUGAUUGGUUAUCAUUGAUAAAUAUGAUGACACUGCAACGUAAAUUUUGCUUGCUCUAUGGCUCAAAUCAUUUGGCUAUGAAGACAUUCAUUUUGCAAUUGCGGAACAUAUGAAGAACUACAAAUCUUUAGAAGAAGAUGAAGUGAUUUGGUUGAUCCUUUUAUCCUUGUAAUGAACAAGGAGCAUGAUGGCUACAUUUGACUUUAUGGAAGAGGUGUUACUUUAAAAAUGAUGAACAAAAUGGGAGAUGGUGAGGAACCAUACAUGAUACAUGAUUUCGGGCUUAAGCAAUAAUUCAAAGCCAGCCUUGAAGUUAAAAAGACACAGUUGCUUGAAAUUCAAGAAAACCAUCAAAAAAAAAAAAA